AAUGGGAUGGAUGGGUAGUAUGGCAAGCAUACAUUUAACUUUAUAAGAAAUUGGCAAAUUGUUUUCCAAAGUGACUGUGCCAUUUUACAUUCCCAUCAAUAAU
rnacentral:pre_miRNA from 1 species